UACGAGGGGGGCUAGUGUUGUUCGGAAUCACUGGGCGUAAAGGGAGCGUAGGCGGGCGUUUAAGUUAGGUGUUUAAUCCCGGGGCCCAACCCCGGACCGGCACCUAAAACUGGACGUCUUGAAUAGUGGAGAGGUCGGUGGAAUUGGAGGUGUGGCGGUGGAAUGCGUAGAGAUCUCCAAGAACACCCGUUGCGAAGGCGGCCGACUGGACACAUAUUGACGCUGAGGCUCGAAAGCAUGGGGAGCAAACAGG
rnacentral:rRNA from 1 species